GAUUAGGAAAAAAAGAUUUCGAAUCUAAAACUGCAGCUCAGCCCUAAUUU
rnacentral:tRNA from 1 species